GUAAUGUAAUUUGGAGGUUGAAGCACUGGCCUGUAUGAAUUUAUUAAGCAACAAAAGUCAAACUGUAGCUUGUACAGAGCUUGCCACUGUUGUUUUAAAGGAAGAAACCAGAACUCUACAUGUCAUUUACAGUCAUCAGUACACACUGCUGUUUGCUUAGAUAACUUAUCUUCAAGUAUAUGGACUUCAGUUUGUUCAAGAGCUUUUGUAUACCACACUGGUAUGCACAUUUCAGUGUCUGCAUACAAAAAAGCAUGCUUUUCCUAUCUACUUAAAAGAAGCCAGACUUCAAUGAAGAUUAGACAGUAGAUAAGCAGCCAUGCAGUAUUGGAAUUUAUAAGCAAAAAUGCUCAAAGGCUUGCAUUGCAUGCCAAAAUGCGAAAUGAAAACACAAUUAAGUUGAUAUAAAAUAUCCCCUCUUGGUGCAUUUCAAAAUAUGACUGUGAUUACGGCUUUCAUUUUACGAUUUUGCAGUACCUAAUAUAACUAGAGUCAUUCAACUCUGCCAAGGAAAUGUGGGGGGCGCUGGGGUUAUUCUAUUCACCGAACAAAGAAAAAGCGCGGACAACAUUUUGAAAAGAAAAAAAAAAAAAAAGCAGCGCUACAACCAAGAACGCAAUAUGCCAGCGCCGCCUGUUACGUGACCGCGCGAUUCGGGUCGGAAAGCCACGGUGCCUUCCUCACGCGGGGUGAAAAAAAAAUAAAAAAAUAAAAUAAAAUAAUAAUAAUAAUAAAAGGAUUUUAAAAAGCGAGAAUUCCGCUGGGCAGAAAACAAAAAAGAGACAAGAAGGCAGCGCGGGGCUCUCCUUCCCCGCCGCCGCCCCGGCCCCGCGCCCCCAUGGUGGGCGCUGCGGGAGCCCCCGGACGCCCCCCGCCACCACCGCCCUUACCCCUCCGGCGGCGGCCGCCUCCUCGCUCCGCCGCCCACCUCCUCGCCGGGCCCACGUAGGGGCCGGGGGGCCGGCUGGGGAGACCGCUCUGGGCACGGCUGGGCACUGCUCGGUACCGCCGAGCGCUCUCACGCCUCUGCUCCCCCUCCGCCGGCCUCCCCCAGGAGCUCCGCGCCGCUUCCUCCCGGCUCCCGGCCCGCCGGGCAUUUAUCGCGGGCGGCGGUGACGCGCGGCGGUCACCCCUCCCCGGCACCCCGCGGGGCGGGCCGCGCUCCGCGCCCCGGGCUCCGCGCCCGGCCCCGGCUCCCGCACCCGCAGCCGGCCUCACCUGGGCGGCCGGGAGCUCUGCCUCUCGCCAGGAACUGGCCUCCGUCCCGCCAAAACUGUCGCCCAGAAAAGCUCUGACUGAAGCACCUGACACAUGGUAAAAAUUUGAAAUCUGCAACCCUGAACAGAAAGCCUUGUACAGCCUCAGAACAGAUGAGAUACUACGUUUUGUAAGUACCAACCAUCAUUUCUACCUAAUCCUGGAACUUCUGCCUGACCCAAAUAUUACUCAAUGUGCAACAGCUUAGGCAUCAACUAAGAUGCAAAGCUUUUCCCUUCUGCUUUACAUGCUUUCCCAGUCUUUCAAGAUUGCAAGCAUACACUUUUCUGCUGCAAAUAAACUCAAUGACACCUGUGACCA
rnacentral:lncRNA from 1 species